rnacentral:lncRNA from 1 species
AAUUUGUUUCACAACUUUUGGACCCUUAUGCCAUUGACAGCCUAGACCCUAGAUGUAGGAUCUUAAAGAGUACCAAACAAAUUGUUUUAUUAUUUUCGCGAACUACCGCACACAGAAUAAAAUUGUGUAAAUAUAUACAGUGCUAGUAUACACAGUUUUAUAUAGGGCAAAUCUCCAAAAUAGCACAUUUCUAAGUUUAUAUCACAA